rnacentral:lncRNA from 1 species
GAUGAGACUGAUCACACUUGAUUAGCGAGAAAUUAUGACAUCAAUCAUUAACGAGUGAGUAUUACACCAAGAAUUUACAAGCGGAUCGAGGAAUGAAGGGAGAGGAAUUAGAAUAGAAAGAAAGAGACGGAUUUCGAAUUAGAGUAAGGGCACGCUAAGACAUUCCUUUUCGUGCUUUCGAUCUGCUUACUUUGAAUAAAGAUAAAAAAAAUAAUAGAUAGGCGGAAAGGCUAUUUUGAAUUAGAGUAAAGGCACGCUAAGUUCCUUUUCGUGCUUCGAUCUGCUUACUUUGAAUAAAGAUAAAAAAAUAAUAGAUAGGCGGAAAGGCUUUACACAAGACCACAGAGCGAGAGAGAGAG